GACGAAGGGGCGAAGCGUUGUUCGGAAUUACUGGGCGUAAAGGGCGCGUAGGCGGCACUUUAAGUCAGGCGUGAAAGCCCUGGGCUCAACCUGGGAAUGGCGCUUGAUACUGGAGGGCUAGAGAGUGGGAGAGGUUGGUGGAAUUCCCAGUGUAGAGGUGAAAUUCGUAGAUAUUGGGAAGAACACCGGUGGCGAAGGCGGCCAACUGGACCAUUUCUGACGCUGAGGCGCG
rnacentral:rRNA from 1 species